UUGUAGAGAAAAUACUAUUUUGAAUUUUGGAAAUGAACCUGAUGGAAACUGGAAAGAAAAGCUUGAGAUAUUAAAAUUCGAGUAUUCCUGGGCCAAGAGUGUUGAAGAGGAGGAUAAGAAAACAAUUGAGGAAGCAAAUGCAUCAAUAAAGAUAAGUUACAAUGAGAAAAGCAG